rnacentral:rRNA from 1 species
UGGUUUGUCGCGUUGUUCGUGAAAUCUCACGGCUUAACUGUGAGCGUGCGGGCGAUACGGGCAGACUUGAGUACUGCAGGGGAGACUGGAAUUCCUGGUGUAGCGGUGGAAUGCGCAGAUAUCAGGAGGAACACCGGUGGCGAAGGCGGGUCUCUGGGCAGUAACUGACGCUGAGGAGCGAAAGCGUGGGGAGCGAACAGGAUUAGAUACCCUGGUAGUCCACGCCGUAAACGGUGGGUACUAGGUGUGGGUUUCCUUCCUUGGGAUCCGUGCCGUAGCUAACGCAUUAAGUACCCCGCCUGGGGAGUACGGCCGCAAGGCUAAAACUCAAAGAAAUUGACGGGGGCCCGCACAAGCGGCGGAGCAUGUGGAUUAAUUCGAUGCAACGCGAAGAACCUUACCUGGGCUUGACAUGCACAGGACGCCGGCAGAGAUGUCGGUUCCCUUGUGGCCUGUGUGCAGGUGGUGCAUGGCUGUCGUCAGCUCGUGUCGUGAGAUGUUGGGUUAAGUCCCGCAACGAGCGCAACCCUUGUCUCAUGUUGCCAGCGGGUAAUGCCGGGGACUCGUGAGAGACUGCCGGGGUCAACUCGGAGGAAGGUGGGGAUGACGUCAAGUCAUCAUGCCCCUUAUGUCCAGGGCUUCACACAUGCUACAAUGGCCGGUACAAAGGGCUGCGAUGCCGCGAGGUUAAGCGAAUCCUUUUAAAGCCGGUCUCAGUUCGGAUGCGGGGUCUGCAACUCGACCCCGUGAAGUCGGAGU